rnacentral:lncRNA from 1 species
CCUGCUUGUACUGUUCUUAUACUAUUCUAGAAUCAGCCUUCAUCUAUUGUUAAAAACAGAGGGUAAUUAGAGGUUGGCUUGGCCCACUAAAGCCAUUUUGUAAUAUUUAACUUCUAUUUUUUUAAUUGGUAAUCAGUCCAGGACCAAAUAAAGCAUCCCUUUGGGCUCAUUAUGGAUACUGUAAGUCUUUUCCAACUUUGGUGAUUCUAUCAUCUCAUAGUUCUCAGAAUGUUUUACUAGACCUUGUUAGACCUCGAGGUUGUUACUUUAAUUUCUUUUCAGCUGGAUCUACUUGUGCACAAUAGAAUAUGACUGUAACCUCAAACAGAAUCUGAAGAGGACAGUUUAUGUGCAAGGCGCUAUGCGCGUUUACCAUGAGUAUAUAAGGAACCAAGGCUGUAAAGCAAUUAGACUCUCCCCCCCACCCCCACCUCAUUCUUCUUGAUGAAGAAACCACACAAAUUAUUCAUGUACUUAAUCACAGUCUUUGAUAUUCUCAGUGGAAAUACUAUGAUGAAUAAUCAGAGCAAAUGACCAAAAUUCUUGUGUAAUGAGCCCUGUGUUAAUUGCCCCACUGUCCAUUCAAAUACAAAAAGUACUAAUGAAGCACGCAGUCUCAUCAUCUUCAGACUGACUUUUGUUAGACCUCUGUUAGAAGUUAUUCACCCAAGAGAAAUAGCAGAACGUGAUGAACUCCAGUGCAGGGCCUUGCCUUUCAUCUGGAAGUGAAUGUCCUUCAGUGGGACCUGACUCAGAAUCACCCAUAGUGACCCCAGUCUCACCCAGCCAUGGCUCCCUUACCACAUUACACACCACAGACAUUCAAGAUUUGACAGCAGUGGGAUGGAUAAAGGCUGCAUCUUUUUUCUCUACUUCAGUGGGACAAGUUUUCAUCUUUAUGAGACUUCUUACUGGCUAUGGGAUUUAGGAGAUGAUACACAUCCUUUCAAUAAAAUGAGCUGUAAUGCAGAUACUCUGCCCAUUCACAAGAAGUUUACCAGAGUUACCACAGCCAAAGAGUAAGACAAGCAAGGAACAUGUAUGUGCCUUCAGAGCAGAACUGGACACCAGAGUGCUUUUGGCAUUGAUGACUAUUUUCUAUUUAUGCCCCAUGCAGGAGAGGGAAAUGGAGCAUCUGGAGACUCUCUGGACCUACAUGAAGGUUUUCCACUCCUGUGAUGAGCACCAGCUCCCAGGCACCUGCGGUUAUCUGGGCCAUGGAGUCACCUCAGCACCUUGCCCCCCCAGCCUUCAUUCCACCACCACCUAA